GCCAAACAGCUAGCUUAAUCACCAAAUUUAACCAAACAACAUAAAUAGUAUAAUAUAAACCUAAACUACUAAAUUAAACCAUUUUUCCACCCUAGUAUGAGCGACAGAAAAGGUAACCUUAAGCAAUAGAAAAAGUACCGCAAGGGAAAGCUGAAAGAGCAAUGAAACAACCUAUAUAAGCACAAAAAAGCAGAGCCUGAACCUCGUACCUUUUGCAUCAUGAUUUAGCCAGUACACACAAGCAAAGCGACCUUUAGUUUGAAACCCCGAAACCAAGUGAGCUACCCCGGGACAGCCUAAAUGGGCGAACCCGUCUCUGUGGCAAAAGAGUGGGAAGAGCCCCGGGUAGAGGUGACAGACCUACCGAACUUGGUGAUAGCUGGUUGCCUAAGAAAUGAAUAGAAGUUCAGCCUCGUGCCCCUUUCAUCAAUAAAGAAACACCUAAACAAGCAAGAAGAGACACACGAGAGUUAGUUAAAGGGGGUACAGCCCCUUUAACCAAGGAUACAACCUUACACAGGAGGAUAAGGAUCAUUUUUCUUAAAAUCAUGUCGCCUCAGUGGGCCUAAAAGCAGCCACCUGAAAAGAAAGCGUUAAAGCUCAAGCGACACAAAAUUUAUUAUUCUGAUAAUCAACCCCACUCCCCUAGUAAUAUUAGGCCAUUCCAUGCAAACAUGGAAGAGACCAUGCUAAAAUGAGUAACAAGAGGGUACAACCCUCUCCUAACACAAGUGUAAACCAGACCGGACCAACCGCUGGAAAUUAACGAACCCAAAAAAUGAGGGCAAUGCUAACAACAUAAAAAUCAAGAAAUUCUAACAACACCUAAAUCGUUAACCCCACACUGGAGUGUCACCAAGGAAAGACUAAAAGAAAAGGAAGGAACUCGGCAAACACAAGCCUCGCCUGUUUACCAAAAACAUCGCCUCCUGCAAACCCCAAUGUAUAGGAGGUCCAGCCUGCCCAGUGACUACAAGUUCAACGGCCGCGGUAUUUUGACCGUGCAAAGGUAGCGCAAUCACUUGUCUUUUAAAUGAAGACCUGUAUGAAUGGCCAAACGAGGGCUUAACUGUCUCCCCUUUCAAGUCAGUGAAAUUGAUAUACCCGUGCAGAAGCGGGUAUACAAAUACAAGACGAGAAGACCCUUUGGAGCUUAAGGUACAAACCCACCUACGUUAAACAACCUACCUAAACAGGCAUAAACCUAGUAGAAAAUGGAGUUUUACCUUCGGUUGGGGCGACCGCGGAGAACAAAAAAUCCUCCAAGUGGAUUGGGACUAAACCCUAAAACCAAGAAUGACACUUCUAAGUCUCAGAAAUUCUGACCAAUUAUGAUCCGGCCACCCGGCCGAUCAACGAACCAAGUUACCCUAGGGAUAACAGCGCAAUCCUCUCCGAGAGUCCAUAUCGACGAGAGGGUUUACGACCUCGAUGUUGGAUCAGGACAUCCUAAUGGUGCAGCCGCUAUUAAGGGUUCGUUUGUUCAACGAUUAAAGUCCUACGUGAUCUGAGUUCAGACCGGAGCAAUCCAGGUCAGUUUCUAUCUGUAAAGCCAUUUUUCCUAGUACGAAAGGACCGGAAAAAAAAGGCCCAUGCUACCAGCACGCCUUACCCCUAAUUAAUGAAGACAACUAAAUUAAGUAAAGGGAGGGCCCAAAUACUGGCCAAAAUAAGGCCAC
rnacentral:rRNA from 1 species